rnacentral:lncRNA from 1 species
GCUCCACCUGUGGUCAGCACCCAGCUCUUGUGCUUGGCACCCACAUGGGGACAGGAGGAGGGACUAUGGUUGCUGGUGUGGUGCAGGCCCCACCUGUGCAUCUCCCAGCCCACUGUGAUGGCACAACACCCAUGCCGUCCCAGCAGGAGGAGGAUGGGGAGAGAGGCAAAAAGGCUCACAAGCUGGCCCCGCGCCAUGGUUAUACCCGAGGUUUGGCAGAGGUGUGGGGCAGCCCUCAGCCCUUCCUGCACCUCUGUCAUCCAGACCCCUGAAGUACCUGGUGGAAGUGGCUGGUGGUGUCAGGAGGGUGGACCACUUGGGAACCAUUGUUUUCUGGCAAAAACAAUGGAGAGGAGAGGAGCUGGGUUAUCUGCCUGGUCCUCCCAGCCUACUUGGUGUGUCCAAUACAGAGCUGCAGUGAAUAAACAGAGUAGAAGAUUGCACCAAGGCAAUGGCUUUGACCAAGGAUAUGUAUACCUCUUGCUGCUUUCAAAGAGUGCUGGCAUCAGACCAGAGGAGGGAUAUGAAACAAAAUAGGGGCUGGGAGAUCCUUUUUUUUUUUUUUUUUUUUUUACCACUGUAUGGGAGUUGUUGUAGAAUAAACUCUCACGGCUGUCCCUGGGGAAGACUGAG